rnacentral:misc_RNA from 1 species
GAUGAAGAACGCAGCGAAAUGCGAUACGUAAUGUGAAUUGCAGAAUUCAGUGAAUCAUCGAAUCUUUGAACGCACAUUGCGCCCGCCAGUAUUCUGGCGGGCAUGCCUGUUCGAGCGUCAUUUCAACCCUCAAGCCCAGCUUGGUGUUGGGGAUCGGCACAGGCGCCCUCGGGCGCCCGCCGUCCCCUAAAUCUAGUGGCGGUCCCGCUGCAGCCUCCUCUGCGUAGUAGUUUUCUCCUCGCAAGGGCAGCUCGGUGGCGACCUCGCCGUAAAACCCCCAACUUCUGAAAGGUUGACCUCGAAUCAGGUAGGAAUACCCGCUGAACUUAAGCAUAUCAAUAAGCGGAGAA